GACGGAGGAUGCAAGCGUUAUCCGGAAUUAUUGGGCGUAAAGCGUCCGCAGGUGGCUGUUCAAGUCUGCUGUCAAAGCGCAGAGCUUAACUCUGUACAGGCGGUGGAAACUGAAGAGCUAGAGUAUGGUAGGGGUAGAGGGAAUUCCCGGUGUAGCGGUGAAAUGCGUAGAGAUCGGGAAGAACAUCGGUGGCGAAGGCGCUCUACUGGACCACAACUGACACUCAGGGACGAAAGCUAGGGGAGCGAAUGGG
rnacentral:rRNA from 1 species